AAAGCUUUAAGUUAAAUAAACUAUUAACCUUCAAAGUUAAAAAUAUAAUUUUUAUAAGCUUU
rnacentral:tRNA from 1 species